rnacentral:rRNA from 1 species
UGAGGAAUAUUGGUCAAUGGACGGAAGUCUGAACCAGCCAUGCCGCGUGCAGGAUGACGGCUCUAUGAGUUGUAAACUGCUUUUAUGCUAGGGUAAACUCGGGUACGUGUACCCGACUGAAAGUAUAGCAAGAAUAAGGAUCGGCUAACUCCGUGCCAGCAGCCGCGGUAAUACGGAGGAUCCAAGCGUUAUCCGGAUUUAUUGGGUUUAAAGGGUGCGUAGGCUGCUCGAUAAGUUAGAGGUGAAAAUUCGUCGCUUAACGACGGACGUGCCUCUGAUACUGUCGGGCUAGCGAGAGAGUGCUGUGGGCGGAAUGUGUAGUGUAGCGGUGAAAUGCUUAGAGAUUACACAGAACACCGAUUGCGAAAGCAGCUCACAAACUCUUUUCGGACGCUGAGGCACGAAAGCGUGGGGAGCAAACAGGAUUAGAUACCCUGGUAGUCCACGCUGUAAACGAUGAUUACUCGUUGUCGGCGAUAUAGCGAUCGGUGACUAAGCGAAA